rnacentral:rRNA from 1 species
AGGACGAACGCUGGCGGCGUGCUUAACACAUGCAAGUCGAACGGAAAGGCCCGCUUGCGGGUACUCGAGUGGCGAACGGGUGAGUAACACGUGGGCAACCUGCCCUCAGCUUCGGGAUAACACUUGGAAACAGGUGCUAAUACCGGAUAAUAACCUUUCAUCGCAUGGUGUGGGGUUCAAAGUUUUUCGGCUGGGGAUGGGCCCGCGGCCUAUCAGCUUGUUGGUGGGGUAAUGGCCUACCAAGGCGACGACGGGUAGCCGGCCUGAGAGGGCGACCGGCCACACUGGGACUGAGACACGGCCCAGACUCCUACGGGAGGCAGCAGUGGGAAUAUUGCGCAAUGGGCGGAAGCCUGACGCAGCGACGCCGCGUGAGGGAUGACGGCCUUCGGGUUGUAAACCUCUUCAGCUCUGACGAAGCGCAAGUGACGGUAGGAGCAGAAGAAGCACCGGCCAACUACGCGCCAGCAGCCGC